CUCCCUCCCUCCCUCCCUCUCCCCCUCUCCCUCCCCCUCUCCCCCUCUUUGCAGCACAGGAUGACGGCAAUGGCCAGGAACAGGACAAUGGCCAUGGAUGAGGACAAGCCCGCCCAGGCCUCCUCUGCCUCCUCCGCCCCCCGCGGAUGGACCUCAGGCUUCCACAGGAUGGGCAAAGAACCCCCAGGAUCCUGGGCUUCCCAUCGGCCAGACCCACCCAGCUGGAUGGACACUGGGACCAGGAUUAACAUCCCAGCAUGAGGAUAGGGAUCAACGCUGGGACAAGGAUCAACCAUCCUAUCAUGGAUCGACGCUGGGACAAGGAUUAACAUCCCAUCAUCUGGACAAACACUGCCUCCUGGUAACCAUUUUUUUCUUCCUCCCUCCCUCUCUUCUUCCCUCCUUCCCUCCCUCCUUCCCUCCCUCUCUUCUUUCUUUCUUUUUCUUUCU